GCUAUUACUAAUACCAUCCAUGCAUUUAAUCUGAAAUAGCAUGACAAUGAAAGAAAUCUUUGUAACCUCUUUGCAACCUGGAUAUAACUCCUUCUUUGCCUCUUCUAGUAACCUAAAAAGUUUUUUUGCAGACGCAUUUGGCUCGUCCUCAUCUCUUCCUGUGACUUCUCCAUGUAUAACACCUCUGAUCAAUGAAGAAAUUAAUUCAUGGGAACUUUCAGCAUGAUCUAGUGCAGCGCCAUCAUCGUUAUCAUUC
rnacentral:lncRNA from 1 species